ACCGGUGACGGCGAGCAAAUCCCAGAAAUAAAGUCCCAUUCGGAUUGUAGUCUGCAACCCGACUACAUGAAGCUGGAAUCGCUAGUAAUCGCGGAUCAGAAUGCCGCGGUGAAUACGUUCCCGGGUCUUGUACACACCGCCCGUCACACCAUGGAAGUUGGGGGCGCCCGAAGUCGGUUAAGAAAUCUGCUGCCUAAGGUGAAACCAAUGACUGGGGUGAAGUCGUAACAAGGUAGC
rnacentral:rRNA from 1 species